rnacentral:rRNA from 1 species
UGGGGAAUAUUGCACAAUGGGCGCAAGCCUGAUGCAGCCAUGCCGCGUGUAUGAAGAAGGCCUUCGGGUUGUAAAGUACUUUCAGCGGGGAGGAAGGUGUUGAGGUUAAUAACCUCAGCAAUUGACGUUACCCGCAGAAGAAGCACCGGCUAACUCCGUGCCAGCAGCCGCGGUAAUACGGAGGCAGCAAGCGUUAAUCGGAAUUACUGGGCGUAAAGCGCACGCAGGCGGUCUGUCAAGUCGGAUGUGAAAUCCCCGGGCUCAACCUGGGAACUGCAUUCGAAACUGGCAGGCUAGAGUCUUGUAGAGGGGGGUAGAAUUCCAGGUGUAGCGGUGAAAUGCGUAGAGAUCUGGAGGAAUACCGGUGGCGAAGGCGGCCCCCUGGACAAAGACUGACGCUCAGGUGCGAAAGCGUGGGGAGCAAACA